rnacentral:rRNA from 1 species
UUCGACUAAGCCAUGCGAGUCGAGAGGGUUCGGCCCUCGGCGUACUGCUCAGUAACACGUGGAUAACCUGCCCUAAGGAAGGGGAUACCCUCGGGAAACUGAGGAUAAUACCCUAUAGGUUACCGAUGCUGGAAUGCUCGGUAACUCAAAGUUCCGGCGCCUUAGGAUGGAUCUGCGGCCGAUUAGGUAGUUGUUGGGGUAACGGCCCAACAAGCCCGUAAUCGGUACGGGUUGUGGGAGCAAGAGCCCGGAGUUGGACUCUGAGACACGAAUCCAGGCCCUACGGGGCGCAGCAGGCGCGAAAACUUUACAAUGCGGGCAACCGUGAUAAGGGAACCUCGAGUGCCUGUACAUGCAGGCUGUCUGGGUGUCUAAAACACACCCAAAGAAAGGGCCGGGCAAGACCGGUGCCAGCCGCCGCGGUAAUACCGGCGGCUCGAGUGGUGGCCACUUUUAUUGGGCUUAAAGCGUUCGUAGCUGGGUUGUUAAGUCUCUUGGGAAAUCCGGCGGCUUAACCGUCGGGCGUCUAAGAGAUACUGGCAAUCUUGGAACCGGGAGAGGUGAGGGGUACUUCGGGGGUAGGAGUGAAAUCCUGUAAUCUUCGAGGGACCACCUGUGGCGAAGGCGCCUCACCAGAACGGCUUCGACAGUGAGGGACGAAAGCUGGGGGAGCAAACCGGAUUAGAUACCCGGGUAGUCCCAGCCGUAAACGAUGUGCGUUAGGUGUAUCGACGACCACGAGUCGUCGAGGUGCCGAAGGGAAACCGUGAAACGUACCGCCUGGGAAGUACGGUCGCAAGGCUGAAACUUAAAGGAAUUGGCGGGGGA